GACGAACGCUGGCGGCGUGCUUAACACAUGCAAGUCGAACGGAAAGGCCCUGCUUUUGUGGGGUGCUCGAGUGGCGAACGGGUGAGUAACACGUGAGUAACCUGCCCUUGACUUUGGGAUAACUUCAGGAAACUGGGGCUAAUACCGGAUAGGAGCUCCUGCUGCAUGGUGGGGGUUGGAAAGUUUCGGCGGUUGGGGAUGGACUCGCGGCUUAUCAGCUUGUUGGUGGGGUAGUGGCUUACCAAGGCGUUGACGGGUAGCCGGCCUGAGAGGGUGACCGGCCACAUUGGGACUGAGAUACGGCCCAGACUCCUACGGGAGGCAGCAGUGGGGAAUAUUGCACAAUGGGCGGAAGCCUGAUGCAGCAACGCCGCGUGCGGGAUGACGGCCUUCGGGUUGUAAACCGCUUUCGGCUGUGACGAAGCGUGAGUGACGGUAAUGGGUAAAGAAGCACCGGCUAACUACGUG
rnacentral:rRNA from 1 species